GUCAUAGUGAUCCGGUGGUUCUGAAUGGAAGGGCCAUCGCUCAACGGAUAAAAGGUACUCCGGGGAUAACAGGCUGAUACCGCCCAAGAGUUCAUAUCGACGGCGGUGUUUGGCACCUCGAUGUCGGCUCAUCACAUCCUGGGGCUGAAGUCGGUCCCAAGGGUAUGGCUGUUCGCCAUUUAAAGUGGUACGCGAGCUGGGUUUAGAACGUCGUGAGACAGUUCGGUCCCUAUCUGCCGUGGGCGUUGGAAGAUUGAAGGGGGCUGCUCCUAGUACGAGAGGACCGGAGUGGACGAACCUCUGGUGUUCGGGUUGUGUCGCCAGACGCAUUGCCCGGUAGCUAAGUUCGGAAUCGAUAACCGCUGAAAGCAUCUAAGCGGGAAGCGAGCCCUGAGAUGAGUCUU
rnacentral:rRNA from 1 species